rnacentral:rRNA from 1 species
AAUGAACGCUGGCGGUAUGCCUUACACAUGCAAGUCGAACGGCAGCAUGACCUGACUUGCUAGGUUGAUGGCGAGUGGCGAACGGGUGUGUAAUGCAUCGGAACGUGCCUUUUAUCGGGGGAGAACGUAGCGGAAGUCACGCUAAUACCGCAUAUUCUACGAGGAGGAAAGCAGGGGAGCUUCGGGCCUUGCGCUCGAUUAGCUGCGGAUGUCGGAUUAGCUAGUUGGUGGGGUAAAGGCUCACCAAGGCGACGAUCCGUAGCGGGUCUGAGAGGAUGAUCCGCCACACUGGGACUGAGACACGGCCCAGACUCCUACGGGAGGCAGCAGUGGGGAAUUUUGGACAAUGGGCGCAAGCCUGAUCCAGCCAUGCCGCGUGAGUGAAGAAGGCCUUCGGGUUGUAAAGCUCUUUUGGCGGGGAAGAAAACGAGCCCGCUAAUACAGCGUGUUUAUGACGGUACCAGAAGAAGAAGCACCGGCUAACUACGUG